rnacentral:lncRNA from 1 species
AGGGAUAAAAAGAGUUCUGCAGCCAACUGCCGGGUGUGUUUUCAGGCUUGCUCUACCUCAGGAGAACCAACUGUCAGCGCACAGGGCCGAGCAGCCAUCUGCUUGCCUGGAGCACCCAUCCCUUGCCUUCUACCAGCUUUCCAAAGACAAACGGAGCAACCACCACCACCAAAAGCCUCUGGAAUGCGAGCGACCUUUGUGCUCAGAGGCUGCCUGCUGGUGUCAAGGACCGCAGAGGCUCUUACUCGGAGAUGCCUUGCUUGACUUCAGGCGACCAUCACCUUUUGGACUUGGAGCUGCAGUUUUUCUGGA